UACGGGGGGAGCUAGCGUUACUCGGAAUAAUUGGGCGUAAAGGGUAUGUAGGCGGUUGUUAUUAACAUAAUUUUAAAGAUAAUGGAUUUAACCUUUUAUAAAAAUUAUUUGAUUUUUAAACUUGAGUUAAAAAGGAGAUAGUCGUAUUUCUAAUUAAAAGUUAAAAUUUGUUCUAGAUUAUUGAGACGGUCGAUCGGUGUAAACAACUAUCUAUCAUUAAACUGACGCUAAAAUACAAAAGUGUUGGGUCGCGAAUAGG
rnacentral:rRNA from 1 species